rnacentral:rRNA from 1 species
AGAGUUUGAAUUCCUGCUCAGAUUGAACGCUGGCGGCAUGCCUUACACAUGCAAGUCGAACGGCAGCACGGGUGCUUGCACCUGGUGGCGAGUGGCGAACGGGUGAGUAAUACAUCGGAACAUGUCCUGUAGUGGGGGAUAGCCCGGCGAAAGCCGGAUUAAUACCGCAUACGAUCUACGGAUGAAAGCGGGGGACCUUCGGGCCUCGCGCUAUAGGGUUGGCCGAUGGCUGAUUAGCUAGUUGGUGGGGUAAAGGCCUACCAAGGCGACGAUCAGUAGCUGGUCUGAGAGGACGACCAGCCACACUGGGACUGAGACACGGCCCAGACUCCUACGGGAGGCAGCAGUGGGGAAUUUUGGACAAUGGGCGAAAGCCUGAUCCAGCAAUGCCGCGUGUGUGAAGAAGGCCUUCGGGUUGUAAAGCACUUUUGUCCGGAAAGAAAUCCUUGGUUCUAAUAUAGCCGGGGGAUGACG